rnacentral:tRNA from 1 species
GCUAUAAUAAUUUUAAAAAAAAUAAUGGUUUUGUAAACCAAAAUUGGACCUCCCCUUAUAGCA